UGGGAGAGAGGAGAAAAGGUAGUGGGGAUGGGAAAAAGAGGUCUCUCUAUGUCAUCAUACUUGGUAUCUGCAUGAAGGAAUCAAGGAUAGUGGUUUAAAUGUGUGUGCGUAUGAGAUAGAGAUUGAGAUGGAGAGAGAGAGAGAGAGAUAAGACUUUCCUUGCAGCAUUCAGUGGUGGAAACAUCCUGUCCACCCCGGUCUAUGAGUGCUUUGGCAAGCCAAGUUGGAAACUGGUGAGAUCCAGGCGGAAAGGGGAUGCCGCGUGGGCCAGAGGGCACGUAGCAUGGUGAUGGAUAGGAUAUAUGGCUGGUGUAAAGUGUGAACAAUCGAAACCAUAUUGAUGAGUUUGGCCCCUGAAGCCGCGCAUUGAUUAAGGGUGUCGACCACCAAAUUCUUUUCAUAAUGAUCGUCUUCUGACCGAAGAACGAAUAAAGGUUUCUACUAUUCAAUGUUCCCCAGCAUUAAUCGAGCACAUAUUGUUUGUGACGCAUCCAGGAGCA
rnacentral:lncRNA from 1 species